rnacentral:rRNA from 1 species
AUUGAACGCUGGCGGCAUGCUUUACACAUGCAAGUCGAACGGCAGCAUGGGUGCUUGCACCUGAUGGCGAGUGGCGAACGGGUGAGUAAUAUAUCGGAACAUGUCCGGAAGUGGGGGAUAACGUAGCGAAAGUUACGCUAAUACCGCAUAUGCCCUGAGGGGGAAAGGAGGGGAUCGUAAGACCUUUCGCUUUCGGAGUGGCCGAUAUCAGAUUAGCUAGUUGGUGAGGUAAAGGCUCACCAAGGCGACGAUCUGUAGCGGGUCUGAGAGGAUGAUCCGCCACACUGGGACUGAGACACGGCCCAGACUCCUACGGGAGGCAGCAGUGGGGAAUAUUGGACAAUGGGCGAAAGCCUGAUCCAGCAAUGCCGCGUGAGUGAUGAAGGCCUUAGGGUUGUAAAGCUCUUUUACCCGGGAUGAUGAAUGACAGUACCGGGAGAAUAAG